UACUAGACACGUUGGUAACAUAAUGCACAAUAUUCAACACAAAUAUAUGCAUAAACUUGCAGAGAGAAACACCAAGGGUUAAUUCUGUUAGGAAUUGUUUUUUGUUGUCACAGAUAACCAAGGAGUUACAUACCACAGAUUUCCUCUUUCAAAGACGGAAUCUCAUUGUUAUUUGUUAGUUUGUAUUUAAAGUUGUUUCAUUUUAUAUUCUCUGUAAUUCUUUAAUUUAUCAUUCUAUCAUAUUUGUUUGUUUUAUUUCUACUUUUUUAAAAUCUCAUCUUUGCAGCUGUUAAUCUACUAAUAUUGCCCCACGGACAAAAACCCCCACCACCCAUCAUGAAAGCUUGAAUCGCCCACUAGUGGGCGGUAGGGACCAGGUUGACGACCCCCGAGCUAAAUCAACUCAUAUAAAUCAUAUAUAUCAAAGACACUGAAGUGAAACCAAAGAAAUUAGAACUCCAGAGGCUUAACUCAGUUGUAUGGAGAAAUACAGCUAUUAACUGCUUUCAAGUGAAUACCAGCUACAAUAGUUUUAAGUUAAAGAAAU